GCGCCACAUAAGCCUUCCCCACGCCCUCUCUCUUAUUCAACGUCAAUCUCCACUUAUUUUGUGUGACAAAAGCCCUCUCCCAGGUCUCUCCCAUGUUCACAAAAGGUCUCCUCUCUUCUUUCUUACAUGGAAGGUGGUUUGGAUCAAAUAAAAAAGGAAUAAGUUUGGAUUUCGAAUUCUAUGAGAUAGAGUUUUAGAAAUCCAAAACUCUUUCAAUUUUGCACCGAAUUUAUCCA
rnacentral:lncRNA from 1 species